CUACUGACAUCGGAAGGUGUCGGGAUGGAUGUUCAGAAGUCAGCCGAGGCCGUAGUAGUGCUUUUGACCAAUAGCAUGAAGGGC
rfam:Serratia sp. ATCC 39006 ctg5, whole genome shotgun sequence.